rnacentral:lncRNA from 1 species
UGGGUGUGCCUUAAGCUUUUCUUCCAGUAGGAUGACAUUUGUGAUAACCAUCUUGUUGGAUGCAGGGCUUCAGUCGCCAGCAGAAGUAUUCGAAGGCAAGGGUGAUGAAGCAGCGAAGCCAUGUAUUUACCCUGCUGUCCCCUUUCUGAGGGAGGAUGUUUAUUCCUGCAGGACUGAGGCAGCUGAAGCACCUGGGAAAUUAUGUCAGCAAUUUCAGGUUUAUCCAGCCUCACUGCAGCCCAAAAUUUCACCAAAUCCAGGUUUACUUUGUAUUUUCCAACUGAAAUACAUAGGAGCAUCAGCAAGAUGCACUGGCAUCGAGGAUCCUGGGAAAGUUCAGUCAGAUGCUGCCUCCAUUUGCCUGAGUCUCAAGGGGCAGGGUGCAUUCCUUGGGUCACCUCAGAGGCAUACAAAGAAUGCAAAGACACAUUUUAAACUCUGA